AGCUUUGCGCAGUGGUAAUAUCGUAGCCAAUGAGGUUUAUCCGAGGCGUGAUUAUUGCUAAUUGAAAAGUUAAUGUAAAGUUACAUUUAAAUUUAUUGCUUGACAAAUCACUGAGAUGGUGUCUAUUUUAACAUACAUAUACC